rnacentral:rRNA from 1 species
UACGAAGGGGGCUAGCGUUGUUCGGAAUCACUGGGCGUAAAGCGCACGUAGGCGGACUGUUAAGUCGGGGGUGAAAUCCUGGGGCUCAACCUCAGAAUUGCCUCCGAUACUGGCAGUCUCGAGUGCGGGAGAGGUGAGUGGAAUUCCCAGUGUAGAGGUGAAAUUCGUAGAUAUUGGGAAGAACACCAGUGGCGAAGGCGGCUCACUGGCCCGAUACUGACGCUGAGGCACGAAAGCGUGGGGAGCAAACAGG